UCUCUCUCUGUGUCUCUCUCCUCUUCUUAUAAGGACACCAGUCAUAUUGGAUUAUGGAGCCACCCUUCUCCAUUAUAACCUCAUUUUAACUAGUUAUGUCUGUAAUGACCCUAGUGGUGACAUCCUCCUCCUUAGCACUCUGCUCCCUUGGUUCUCUGGCCACACUCUGAGUCUCACACUCCAGACCGGGUGUUCCCUCUUGCGCUUGCUCAUCUUACUCAUCCUAUGUCCUAAAUGUGGGUGCUUCCCAACUCACAUUUCUCUGUCCUUCCCUUCACAUUCUUUCUUUCUGAAAUCUCUUCCAUUCUCAGUUUCAGUUGUAACUUCUAUGCCAUUGGCUCUCCCUUCUGUGUCAGUCUGUUUCUCCCUGCUGCCCUCUCCCCUAAGCUCCAGCCUCAUACCUUCAAACUCCUGCUAGACAAGAAGUCCUACCAUCAUCUCUAGCCCAGCAUGCUCAAGCCAGGUAUUUUUCUUCCUUGAAAAGCUUUCAUCCUGUCUCACCAUAUGCACUGACACACAUGUCCUGGCCCAAGUCCUUGCUGUCUCAUGGAAGGAACACUACAGCAAUGCCCUAGUUAACUGGCUUGAUGCCAGUCUCCACCCUUCCAGUGUGUCUUGCAUAACCUUGACCAACUAAUCUCUCCAAACCCAAUUUUAAUUCUUUUAUUCCCUGUGCUCAGCCAUUCCCUAUGUUCUGCUGCUUCAUGUUUACACUCCUCUGACAUCUCUUUAUCCACCAUCUUCACCCAGUAUAAUUUCCCAUGGCUUCAAUAUGCACUUGUACUCUAGUUAGGCAUUGCUUCUCUGCAAAACUGAGCAUAUUCUCAUUUCUGUGCUGUGACUUAUGUUAUCCACUCAACCCUUUAUCCUCUCCAAUCUUGCCUCUUCCAUCAGGCCCCAGAUCAAAUCUCACCUCUUCUAUGCAGUUUUCUCUACCAUUUCAGGUUUCAUUCAUUUCAGUGGAGCCUCAAGGAAAGAAUAACAGAAAAGUGGUCAGAAAUGCAGGAUGAACUUGCUCUCUCCGUGUCCUCUGUUCUUAGCUUCUAUGUUUAUAUUUGCUCCAUCUUUCUCUCUCUCAUCUCAGAACUUCUAAAAAUCAGCAUACACAUUACUCUGAGCUGUCCUGUUUUAUUAAUUGUUGCUUUACGUCUCUUCUCAACUAUUUUAUCAGACAAGUGAGGGCAAAGGCCACAACUCAUCUUUUUUUCCCUUAAUAGCUAUACCACCUAACACAAUAUUGAAUACUUACUAAACAAUUUUCACUUAAUUUACUUAAUACAAUUUCACAAUAAGUUGAGUGGAGUUUCUUACAGAAGUGCCAAAAAACUGUUUCUGAAACCUAAUGUGUUCUAGACACUAGUUUUCUAAGCCAAAAAUAUUUCACUGAAGGUAGACAGAGUCUGCAAUGU
rnacentral:lncRNA from 1 species